rnacentral:rRNA from 1 species
CCUACGGGAGGCAGCAGUGGGGAAUCUUGCGCAAUGGGCGAAAGUCUGACGCAGCGACGCCGCGUGGGUGAUGAAGGCCUUCGGGUUGUAAAGCCCUGUGGGGAGAGAAGAAUAAGUGCGGGCUAAUACCCCGCAUGAUGACGGUAUCUCCUUAGCAAGCACCGGCUAACUCUGUGCCAGCAGCCGCGGUAAGACAGAGGGUGCAAACGUUGUUCGGAAUUACUGGGCGUAAAGCGUGUGUAGGCGGUCUGAUAAGUCGGAUGUGAAAGCCCCGGGCUCAACCCGGGAAGUGCACUCGAUACUGUUAGGCUAGAGUACUGGAGAGGUUGGUGGAAUUCUCGGUGUAGAGGUGAAAUUCGUAGAUAUCGAGAGGAACACCGGUGGCGAAGGCGGCCAACUGGACAGAUACUGACGCUGAGACACGAAAGCGUGGGGAGCAAACAGGAUUAGAUACCCUGGUAGUCCACGCCGUAAACGAUGGGUGCUAGGUGUCGCGGGCUUUGACUCCUGCGGUGCCGUAGCUAACGCAUUAAGCACCCCGCCUGGGAAGUACGGCCGCAAGGCUAAAACUCAAAUGAAUUGACGG